UACGUAGGGUGCGAGCGUUAAUCGGAAUUACUGGGCGUAAAGUGUGCGCAGGUGGCCGCGCAAGUCGAGUGUGAAAUCCCCGAGCUUAACUUGGGAAUUGCGCUCGAAACUAGGUGGCUCGAGUGUGGCAGAGGAAGGUGGAAUUCCACGUGUAGCGGUGAAAUGCGUAGAGAUGUGGAGGAACACCGAUGGCGAAGGCAGCCUUCUGGGCCAACACUGACGCUCAUGCACGAAAGCGUGGGGAGCAAACAGG
rnacentral:rRNA from 1 species